UCAGGCAUAGGUCGUGGAUAUCGAAGGGGACUUCUACAAUCUUUGAGUACCCAUGCUUCUUGAAUAUGCCAAGUGUGAUGAAAAGUGCUACCUAAUGCUGGUUGUUCUGGCAUUUCUUCUGCCACCGUUGCCUGGAAGUCGCUGCAGUGUUAAAUAGGAAAUUUCAUUCCUUCAAUUUCCCUUUGUAACGCCUGGAGCCAUAUUGCAUCCCUCUGCAGCAGUUUUGAGACCGCAUCAAAGACCAGACCACAGCCAAUCUACAUUGAGAGUUUGAAGAGCACAACAUGACAAUACAUCAUUGCGACGAUUGACGAAAUGACCAUUUCUGU